rnacentral:ncRNA from 1 species
CUCGGGAGCUCGCACCCUGUGGCGGGCUGAGAGGGUGGAGUGGCGACGUGUCGCCGGGUCCCCGACCGAACGAACCUGACCGGGUAAUGCCGGCGUAGGGAG